GACGAACGCUGGCGGCGUGCUUAACACAUGCAAGUCGAACGGAAAGGCCCUGCUUUUGUGGGGUGCUCGAGUGGCGAACGGGUGAGUAACACGUGAGUAACCUGCCCUUGACUUUGGGAUAACUUCAGGAAACUGGGGCUAAUACCGGAUAGGAGCUCCUGCUGCAUGGUGGGGGUUGGAAAGUUUCGGCGGUUGGGGAUGGACUCGCGGCUUAUCAGCUUGUUGGUGGGGUAGUGGCUUACCAAGGCUUUGACGGGUAGCCGGCCUGAGAGGGUGACCGGCCACAUUGGGCCUGAGCUACGGCCCAGACUCCUACGGGAGGCAGCAGUGGGGAAUAUUGCACAAUGGGCUGAAGCCUGAUGCAGCAACGCCGCGUGCGGGAUGACGGCCUUCGGGUUGUAAACCGCUUUCGCCUGUGACGAAGCGUGAGUGACGGUAAUGGGUAAAGAAGCACCGGCUAACUACGUG
rnacentral:rRNA from 1 species